UCGAUGCCAUAUUCACACUAGCCUUUUUAAUUUAAGUCUUCUGAACUAAGUAUGACAUUUCAAUCCAACGAUACACCUAACCAUAUCUGAUCUAUCUUCGCAGGAUGAAGGGAUGCAGGAUGAUAUCCGUUCCCCCACACACCUGUUCUAAACAGGCCCGGAUUGACUAAUCGGGAGGACCGGGAGAAUUCCCGGUGGGCCGUCAGUCGUGAACUGAGGUGGGCUGGUCUGAGGCUUGAAACUCCAGAGCUGAAAAGGUGUCCCACUCCGGCCCUGGUUCUAAACCUCUUAGCAUUUUUACACCACAGAAGAGCAAUAACACCUCGGGGAAGCCCAGCCGAUCAUCUCCAGCCAACUUCCACCAUCAUGCAUUAUUGGGUAUGAAGUAUGACUCUGUCAUUUCCUUCCUAUUUCCCUUCCUAUUUAACAUAGGAGCUCCUUCACUGCCCUUCCCUGUUUUUCUAGCUUUAACUUUUUCUCUCCAAAUUUAAACUAUCCUAUACUUCUAUUCACUUUCAUUCACCACAGCUCCGACCAAUUCAGGGGUUGUCUUGAGUUUCAGUUGCUGCAACAGGAACGUUCUAAAUGAGCUUGCAUACACUUACAAAUUUUCUAAAUACCACUAUCGUUGCACUCCCCGCACUAAUACAGCAGUAAAUGCUUCUGCGGGAGCACAAGUUGCCUCCAUACUGGCCCACUACACCACUGCAGCCGCAGAAAUGCUCCGCAGAGUUGCACACCCAAAGCACCACUGCUACCGCAGUGAACCUCUAGCAUAUGCCUUAUUCACCUUCAUCUUUACAUAUCAAUAAAGGCAGUAUUUAACGUCCCUGCGGGAGCACUCAAAACUUACUAAUAUCGACUGUUUAGGUGCUCCACUUAACUAUACACCCCAUUAACAUCACGGCAACUGCAGUGACGCUCUAGCUGAGCCCCUUUAUCACUUUCAUCUCUAAAUAUCACUGCUAAUAGUACUUAGUAUUUCCGUGUGAGGCGCUAAUACUGAGUACCACUGCACCUCUGCUACUGCAGAGACGCUUUGCCGAGCCUUAUUCUCCCUCUGCACCACUGCUGCAACAGUUAAGCUUUGCCUGAGCUGCAACUGCAGAGAUGGCUGUUUAGCCUUAAUUCUCUGCACCAUUGAUUUUAUUGCACUUCUGUAACUGCAGAGAAGCUCUGCUGAGAUUAUUUUUUCCCCUGCACCAAUGCUGCAGCAGUGACGCCCUGCCUGAACAGUCUUCCAACAACAGAUAUAAACUCUGUCAUUGGUCCUCUAACACCUCUAAAUCCUCAAUUUGCCUCAGCCAAUAUUUCCUCAGAGAAGCCCAGCUGAUUCUCGGUUGCAGACUUCAACCUAGUUUCCAAGCAGCACGACUCUGUCUGUUCUUCCUACUUUCUGUCUUAGUUGCAUAGGACUCAUUUUUACUAAACUUUCCUUUUUAUUUUAUUAAACUUCCCUUCUCUUCCUCUUCAUAAUUUUUCAAUUUCACUUGCACUCAUUCUCCGCAGCUCGGACUCCCACAGGGGUAGCCCCAAGCUCCCACUGCCACAGCAGUGAAGCUCUUUAAGAGCUCACAUGUACACUUUUCAAAAAAAAAAAAAAAAAAAAAAAAAAAAAAAAAAAAAAAAAAA